AUUAGGAAGCAUGGAAACUCCCGCAGGGUUCCAGAUUAUCGUAGUGCUUUAACCCAACAGCGUCCGCAGGGCAGCGUGCUCUGUUCUCUCUGAUACUGACAUCACAAACACCAAUUGGAGGUGCUUUUGUUCCUUCCAGGUUGUUGGUCACCUUAGUCCUCACCAUCUCAUAUCUUUUGUUGGAUAAAUUGUCAAAAAACAGGGGUUUAUAUAUAUAAACCACAAAAUUGUUGUAUAAGGCUUGAAA
rnacentral:misc_RNA from 1 species